CCUUCGCUGAUGAGUAACCUGAUGACUUUCGUUCUUCUGAGUUUGCUGAAGCCACUAUUGAUGCUCUGAGAAGG
ensembl:snoRNA